CUUUGUGGGACUGAGGUGGCGCUGAGUGGGAGAGCAGCAGGCGAUGCGCGAAAGGCGGGACUUGGAGAUAAAUACUGAGCACCCACAACAGGCAGCCAGCACCACUGCAGAUUGGAUACUGCAAUGAUGAUAAGCAUGGCCUGCCUUUAUGGAGUUCAAGGCAUGUGGUGAUCAUGCUGCCUAAGAGUAUCUUUGUUUACC
rnacentral:lncRNA from 10 species